rnacentral:rRNA from 1 species
CGCUGGCGGCGUGCUUAACACAUGCAAGUCGAACGGAAAGGCCCUGCUUGCAGGGUACUCGAGUGGCGAACGGGUGAGUAACACGUGGGUGAUCUGCCCUGCACUUCGGGAUAAGCCUGGGAAACUGGGUCUAAUACCGGAUAGGACCAUCGUUUAGUGUCGGUGGUGGAAAGUUUUUCGGUGCAGGAUGAGCUCGCGGCCUAUCAGCUUGUUGGUGGGGUAAUGGCCUACCAAGGCGUCGACGGGUAGCCGGCCUGAGAGGGUGGACGGCCACAUUGGGACUGAGACACGGCCCAGACUCCUACGGGAGGCAGCAGUGGGGAAUAUUGCACAAUGGGCGCAAGCCUGAUGCAGCGACGCCGCGUGGGGGAUGAAGGCCUUCGGGUUGUAAACUCCUUUCAACCAUGACGAAGCAUUAUGUGACGGUAGUGGUAGAAGAAGCACCGGCUAACUACGUGCCAGCAGCCGCGGUAAUACGUAGGGUGCGAGCGUUGUCCGGAAUUACUGGGCGUAAAGAGCUCGUAGGUGGUUUGUCGCGUCGUCUGUGAAAUUCCGGGGCUUAACUCCGGGCGUGCAGGCGAUACGGGCAUAACUUGAGUGCUGUAGGGGAGACUGGAAUUCCUGGUGUAGCGGUGAAAUGCGCAGAUAUCAGGAGGAACACCGAUGGCGAAGGCAGGUCUCUGGGCAGUAACUGACGCUGAGGAGCGAAAGCAUGGGUAGCGAACAGGAUUAGAUACCCUGGUAGUCC